rnacentral:rRNA from 1 species
GUGCCUACGGGGCGCAGCAGUGGGGGAUAUUACACAAUGGGGGAAACCCUGAUGCAGCGACGCCGCGUGGGUGAAGAAGCGCCUCGGCGCGUAAAGCCCUGUCAGCAGGGAAGAAAAUGACGGUACCUGAAGAAGAAGCCCCGGCUAACUACGUGCCAGCAGCCGCGGUAAUACGUAGGGGGCAAGCGUUAUCCGGAUUUACUGGGUGUAAAGGGGGCGCAGACGGCGAUGCAAGCCAGGAGUGAAAGCCCGGGGCCCAACCCCGGGACUGCUCUUGGAACUGUGCUGCUAGAGUGUCGGAGAGG